AUGCCGAGGACAGAAGGAGGCUGCACUGCGCUGCUGGCGGGGCAGGCUGCAGGGGGCGACACCUGGGCUUUCACCCGAGCCCUGCACACACUCGUCUCACCGCUGACACUCUCCAGCCCCUGCGGCCACUGUCCUGGACUCUCUCCCUCCACUGGUGGAAGCCCGGCCCUCACAUUUACAUCACUAAUGUCCAGCACAGGUCUCAUCCCAGCCGUGACCCAGACAACUCUGUCUGAAGUCCCACCAGAACCCCGAAGCAGCACACCCAGCUUCCAGUGCUGGCCCACGAUGGUAAGACACAUCUCUCCUUAUCCCUCCCCCACCCCCGGCCAACCUCCGCUAAUACAGCUUAAACCCUGGAAAUGAUAGAAACGGCUGCUUAAACGGCACAGAUGAAUCAUCUCAUAGUUGUAAAAGCAGAGGCUGAAGUCAGACUCAGAGGCUCCAGGACACCUGGCUGUGCCCCUCCUGGAGGCCCCAGGGAGCCCGCUUCCUGGCUUUUCCCACUUCCUUGGCUCCGCCUCACUCCCCCUUCUGUUUCUAUCAUCAUAGCCCAGUCUCUCCCUCUGACUCUCCUGCCUCUGUCUUAUAAAAACCCUUAUGAUGCCAGUGGGCCCACUAGGGUAAAAAACAUCUCAAGAUCUAUAAUUUAAUCAUAUCUGCAAAGUCCCUUUUGUCACCUGAGGUAACAUAUUUACAGGUUCCAAGAAUUAGGACGUGUACAUCUUUGGGGUCCAUACUCAACCUAUCAGACCAGUAUAUAAUGAUAAGCUGUGUGUAUGAUAUAAUACCUAGAGCAACCACUAGGUAAACUAUACAAAGAGAUAUACUCGAAACACUACAGAUAAAUCAGGAUGGAGUUCUAAAAAAUGUUUAGACAACCUACGAUUAUAUUAGGUGAAAGAAAACAGUGAAAAUGUCAAAACAGGGAAAACAAACAAAAAGCAAAAAUAAAAUGACAGGCUUAAGUCUAAUAUAUCAAUAAUUACAUCAAAUAUAAAUAAUUUAACUAUCCCAAUUAAGAGGCUUCCCUGGUGGCUCAGACAGUAAAGAAUCUGCCAGCAAUGCAGGAGACCAGGGUUCAAUCCCUGGGUUAGGAAGAUCUCCUGGAGAAGGAAAUGGCAAUCCACGCCAAUAUUCUUGCCUGGGAAAUCCCAUGGACAGAGGAGCCUGGCAAGCUACAGUCCACGGGGUUGUAAAGAGCUGAACAUGACUAAGCAACUAACACACACACAUCCCAGUUAAAAGGCAGAUUGGAGUAGUGCUUUGAAAAAAUAAUCUUGUAUUGACUGCUUACAAGAAACUCACUAAACUAUAUAACAUCAUAGCUAAGCUGAAAGUAAAAGCAUGGAAAAAAUAUAUACCAUAUAAACAGUAAUAAAAAAAAAGAAAGUGUGGCUGUAUUGAUAUCAGAUAAAG
rnacentral:lncRNA from 1 species